UUUUUUUUUAUUUAUAUAUUUAAGUUUUUAAUUUUAUUAUUUAUUUAUUUAUUUAUUUUGCGUUCAUUUGUAUUUUUUGUCAUUAGGACAUGUUGAACUAUUAAAUUAAAGUGGUCAAUAUUUGUGAACUAAAUAGGGGUAAAAAAGAAUCCUUUUUAUGUGGACUACACUCCCUCUUCUCUUUCUUAUAUACUAGAAAUUUGUAAAUGAUGAACAAAACAUUUGUAUCUCUUUCUGAAUCUAAAUUUGUAAAAAAGACAGCAGUGCAACACUUACUGGCUGUACUGUGUCCGGGAUUAAAGUUGGUAUGAAGGAACUUUGAUUUUUAAAGAAAGACAUUUUACUGCCCACCCAAUCUGAGUCACUGCCCAAAUAUGUGCUACUUGUUGUCAUCAAUAUUUAAGGUUUGCACUUGUCAUCGACUCAUACUGAUGUUUUACACUACUUCCGCUCUACAAGAGUUCAAGCACUUCAUAUUGCAUAGAAUUUUAGGUGAUAAGCUGUGGUAGAGUCACUAAUUGUGUUCUUCUUAAUAGAAAAGUAGAUGUAGAUGUGAUGGGAGUUAGUGGGAUAAUUGUGAUCAUUGUAGUGAUUUAGGUGUGAGAAGGAGAUAGUGGGCCCAAGAGAAAGGUGAUAAAUAAUCAAUAAUUGGUAAAACCUUAUUAGAAAAAGAAAGUGUUCAAACUAUGUUGGGAUGGAUGAAAGUUGAAAUUUUAAAUUUCAAAGGGAGUAUGUUUUUAAUCAGGGAGGAAGAAUUUCUCAUGCAUGCGACAUUAAUCUCCAACUAAAUCCCCAUCUGUCAAUUCCUACCAAAUGUCAAAUAGGGAGAUGAAGAGUGUGAUUUGUGGCUUUGUGCUUUAAAGUGAGAGACUAAGAGUGCAUUCAAGUGUCCUCUUUCCUAUGUAUUAUUAUUGGAUGUUGGGAUAGCAUUUGUGACAGAUGAAUUCACCAUUGUAUCAUCAUUAUGAAUCCCUACUUACCUAGGCUGCACUUGUUGGAGUUAUUGUGUCUUGGAUAAAAGUUGAUGUGAUCAUAUUGUUAUGUGCUUGGUCUAUGUUUUAUAGUGUUACUUAUGAAGUUGAAUGGAUAGAGAAAGGAAGCUGCCUCGUCAUUUUUCAGAGCACUAACCAAGUUAAAAAUCUGCUCAGACGUGUAUUUACCCAUCACAACACUAGGCUUCCACUUGUCAACAAUAUAUGCUUUUUCAUGAGGUCCUCUUUAUUUUAUUUAAUUUGGGAGGAGUAAUUUCUCUUGCACACGAAAUUAUACUCUUGUAAAUAGAGUCUAAUCCUCAUCUUUGAAAAUAGUAUUUACUUCUAAUCUUCAUCUUUGUAAAUGGUAUAUACUUCACUCUUGGAAUGUGGAUACUUUCCUAGAAUAUUGUCUUUCUCUUUCCCUGCAAGAUUUUACUCUGUUCUCAGAAUUGGCUUGUUAAAAAAUAAUUAGAUGAAAAAAAGAAACAAGUCACUUGAAUUUCUAUUUCACCAUGAAGAAGAGAAUUAACAAUGAUGGAGUUGAAUUUUACUUCGGGCUUAUUAACAUGCUUAAAGACUGCCCUUUUGGUAAGUGCUAAUAAAUGAUGGCAAUGGCAAUGGAUUUGUAUAUAAAUUUGUAAGAGAAAUCAAUUUUUUCCGUGGUAAUGAUUUCCAUACUAUCUAUUUUUCUUCACAAAUUUCCAUUACCAUCCAUUACCAUUUAGGGGGUGGUGUUGGUUGGUAAUGGGCAUUUAUGAAGAAAAUCACUGAUUUGGGGAUGAGAUUGCAUUGUUAUGGACAUUAUGAUAUUGAUUUGCUUGCCAAAUUACACUUAAUUCCAUUCCCAUUGCCAGGAAGUAUUCUCAUUUCAUCGUGACUCUGAGCUAUUUCUGAAUUUCUGUGCCUGAGUCCUGCCUUGGUUUGACUUAGACGAUCAAGAUAACUAAUCAAGUCAGCAGUCAAAGUACAAUUUCUGUGAAAUUUGGAUCAUGCUAGCCUGAAAAUGUUUGAAAUUUGUUGUGUUGGAUGCUGGGUCACUACACUAAGCAGCAAUAUCAUUCAGAUCAAAUUGUUGUUCUUGAGUGUCAUUGUGACUGCUUGUCUUUGUGUUGACGACACGGACUUCUAACUUCAUAGAUUAUGCUUUGAAGCAGUUUUGAUAUUGUUUGCUUUCUUAAGAGACUUUAUUUUCCUUUUGAUAUUCUUUCUAACUCUAGAUUCAUAUGAAGGUUUCGUGUUUUUAUUAGUUUCCAUGAUGCAAUGCACUCAAUCUAAAUUUCUUAAAAAUAUGAUAGCAAUGUAUUUUUGGCUUUUUAUUUCUUCCAAAUUUCUUGGCCUGAAAUCCAUGAGAUUUUGAGCUGCUUAUGAUAAGUGCAAACAGGGGAGUGUUAAAACUUAAAAGCACAUCAAAGUAGCAGAUAUGUUUCAGAUUUUCAGGUGAGUGUUUGUUAUCCUUCAUCGCAGCAUCAGCUUGCUUAUCGACGUGGUUGUACUAUUUGUUUCUUGGAUUGGCAUUUUUUUGCCUGUAUGAGCAGUAGGUUUUUAGUGUUGAAGUAGUGACUCCUUUUGUUUGUUACUUUUUUUCCUUGCAUUUUCUUAUAUUCCUUUUGUCUCUGUUAAAAUGGCAAUUGGGCAUACAGCAAAUGUAAUAUUCCCUCAAUUUGUUAUUUUGAACUGUUAGAGGUUUUGUCGCCACAAAAUAUAUGUAAGUAGUAAUGGUUGCAGCUUGCAGGAAUUGAAAAUUUGACAUUCAACCUUAACUACUAUUUCCUCUCUCCUUGUUUAAAUUUACUUUCAUUUUUACUGCAUAAUUAAAAGUUUGAAUCUGUUUGGUGACUAGCUGGAUAUUCUCAACUGUUUUCCUUUUUCAUUAUAAAUUACUCCGAGAUUGAUCAUCUAAGUCUUUUAUGUAACAUCAUUCCUUAUAUUAUUAAUCAAUAUUACCCCAUUAUCUGAGCUCCAUUUGAAUCUUUGUGUGAGUAAAGCCUGAUUUUUUUUGAAGAGACUUGAGCUGGUGAUGUAAAAAGGAAACACACUUUAGUUAUAUGAUUGCUAUGAGAAUGGCAAACAGAAGUUUUGUACUUUUGAGGUUAAUAAUGGAAUUUCUAUAGGAAUGCCAUAAGAUUGGUGUUGCUCUAUGGUACAGAAUUUUGGGCCUCUAAGGAGCACAUUAAAAAGAUGGGAGGUUACGGAAAUGCACAUGUUAAGAUGGAUGUGCAGGAACACUCUAAGAGAUAGAAUCAUGAGGUUAUUCACAAGAAAGUGGGUGUCGCAGGCAUUGCAGACAAACUAAGGAAAAAGCGCCUGCGUUGGUUUGGGCAUGUAAGAUGGAGACCCGAGGUGCACCGGUACGAAGAGUGGAAGAGUGGGACCAUGGAGAGGUUAAACUAGGGAGAAGGAGACCGAAAAUGACUUGGUUGGAAGGAGUUGGAAGGAUAUGAAGCAUAUGGAUUUGCAUGAUAAUGAGGUAUUUGAUCGUAAGGAAUGAGGAGGAAGAUUUUGGUGGAUGAUAUGGAAUAAUCACUUUUGGUUCAUGUAGCCGACCCCACUUGUGGGAUGAAGGCUUUGAUUGAUUGAGGCUAAUAAUGGGAGGUGGCGGUAAUUAUAUUCUGUAAAAUGCAGAAGACCUUUAAGGGGAUAUUGGUCUUGUUAGCUUCAGCCGACCUAGUGAUGUAUACCUCUAUAAUUUUUUAAAUGCUAUUAAUUUCAAUUACGUUGUGUGCCUUGUAACUAUCAGUGUGAAAUGCAGUGCUUGUGUAAUUAUCAGAAUCUCUGGUUUCUACAUCGUCUUUGCAGUAGUCUGAAUAUAGCAAAUUUCUUUUAGUCUGCAUAUGACUUUGAAAUCUCUAAUUUUAUGGGGUAAGACUAAAGUGUUUAUCUCAUGUAGUCAUGUGUUUAUUAUGCCAUUGUUUGAUCUUCUUUUGGUAGCUGAUAGGAGUAUUAUGAGCUCAUAUGCAGGUUCUCUGUUUAAUUGGACUAGUCUCUGCUUAAUGCUGUACUGCUAAUAGUUCUUAAACUUUUGCUGCUGUGAGAUAAUAAAUACUUCAAGUUUUACAUAAAAGAUAUUACAUCUGGUAUGCAUAAAUAUGUUAUUCAUUAUGGUUUCUUGUGAGGAAUAUUACAGGUCAUAAGAGUUUUGUGCAUUUAGGUAAUAAUGACGAUCUACCUUAUGUGAGGAACUUGGCUUUUUAACAUAGUAUACUCACAAUCUAACCUAGUAGUUUUUGUGUCAGAAUGUCUGAUUAAAUGCUUCUGUUCAGACAAAUUAAUUUUUGAUUUUUUUUAGUUUUGUGUAUAUUCAUGAAUCACGAGUCAUGACUAUUUAACCAUAAAGAAUUAGGUUCAUGUUCGUCAUAGUGUAACUUUUAACCUUUUUUUUUUUUUGGUCAACUGUAUUGGUUUUAUACACUGGUCAGUCAGACCAUCUUUCCUAAGAAUUUGUAAAAACUAAUAUUUUAAGUAGAAAUGUAUGUUGAGGAGAAUUAUUAAUGCAUCUUCUUUUAGGGUAAUUUUUAAUGGUUGAUGUACCCACCUGUAAAUAUUAAGUAUGUUCCUAUAAAUACAGAUUAGUUUUUAAUGGCUUAGGUUUUGUUUGUUGGACACCUGCAGUUAAAAUCUUUGCUUGUUGAAGUGUUGUUUGCUCUAGGUAGGGUAAAAUUUAUAUGCGUGUGAAUAGUCUUACAGUGCUACCGUGUUUGUAGCAGCUGUUUCUAGUUUGUUCAUCUUGCAAAACUUUCCUUGUGGUUAGUUUUCCUUGCCAAUUGUCGUCUGGUUUAUCUCUCAGUAUCUCUUAGCCACAACUAAAUGCUUGUUUUGGUAAACAACUUUGUGUAAGGUUCUUUUCCCCUCUUGAUUAUGCUCAAAUUAUGUGGCUCUAUUACUUCUAUAUAUGUCUGGUAAUUUACGAUGUUUGGUUCCUUCCCUUGGUUGCUAUGUGAGCCAGAGGUGAAGAGCUGUAAUUGCAGUAUUUGGUUUCCUGUAGAUUACGCUCCCCUGCUUAUCAUCUUUUGAUGGUUUCAUUGAUUGUUGAUAAGCUGUAAAAUUUGGUACAUGCCCAGUGUGUGCACUGUACUUUUUUCAGAAUUCUGGUGCCUGCUGUGACUGUUAGUUGUCACUUUUGUUUUUUCGAUUAGAUUUGGCUGACCUGAAUCAAAUUACUGGUCCUUGUUUGAUCUUGCUUUUGUGAGCUUUAUGUGCCCAGGAGCUCUUGUGCUUCUGAUCUCCAUAUCAGCAUAUUGUGUAAGUGAAGUUGUCUCUCAUCCAUGAUCAAGGUUAAGGCCCAUUUUUAUUUUUAUUUUAUUUUAUUUUAUUUUUUUUUUUUUUUUUUUUUUUUGAAAAAAAUAUCAUCUUAAUGGCCUUGUGGAGUUUUGAACUUGCAAAUUAUAAUAUCUUUCUUAAUCAUUGUAGGUCCUGGCACAUGCUUGAUGCUUACUGUAGCAUAUCUUUUGUUUUAAUCUAAUAAUGCUGCAGGCCACCAUAGCCUUCUGGCUCUCAUGACCAGUCCCAAGCUGGAGUUCUAGUGGUCAUGUGACUCAAAACUUGUAGGGUAUGCCAAGAAAACCUGUUUGUCAACAUCAAGAAUACCACAAAAGCUGGAUGUGUCUGGGCUCCACAAGUACAUCAAUCUGCUUAUAUGAAGUUGAUAUUGUGACCAAGAUGUCAAUCUCAACUCACUGAUCCAUGUCGAUAUGGUCUAGUGGUCUACCACCAUGAAUGUUUGGACAUGAGAGGCUUUGGCUCAAUGCAUCAGCUAAUCAGCUGUGGAAGUACUACUGCAUGUGAAAGGGGCCAAAAUGUGGAUUUGAAAUGGAAAUCAUUGCCAAAAGUGAAGCAUCGUCUGUGCGUUGAUUGAAGCGUGCAAUCAGUUAAGACUUGCAUCAAGAAUUUAUUCCUGCAAUUGACUACACUUUUUUUAGCACACUUGAUCAAUUAUUUCGUAUUUACAUUUAAUUUUCUGUUUCUUACUAUAAUUUGUUUAUAUGCUUUGCGGGUGUGGAAAGAGUGCCAUUACACCUCAUAUUUUCUAGGGGAUAAGUGUACAAGGUUUUGGUGUACGUGUGAAAUUACUAGACCAUAAUAGAAAGGCAUUAAUAGAUGAAGCUAAGGAGGGGUCACCAUCAUUGGGGAGAAAAGAACAGGUGAUGAAAUGAGAGCAACUCAUAGAAUAUUGAGCUGUGCUGAAGAGGUUAUUCGGUGUCCCUAUUAUCGGAAGGAAUUUAAGAACUGUUGUCUAAACUCGGGCUGCAUGUCAAUAUCGGAUUAUUAAUGGAAAUGCUUGCUUUGCUCUAAAUUUGGGUGUUAUUGUAUGACAAUGAAAGUGUAAGGUGGCAAAAUUGAACCUAAAAUUUCAUACACCUGAGCUCAGUAAUGAAUUGGAGUCUCCCUUAGUUGAAGGCAGGACAAAACGGAGUAGUUGUUAUGUUGUUGCAUCAGGGUUCCACCUCUUUUUUAUUUGUGGUUGAAGGCGUAAAUGUGCUAGAUUUUCUUCUAUAAUUUUGUUUAUAAGUUAUCAAUAAUUAUCACCACUCGUUAAAAUGGUGAUGGAAUGAGUGCCCAACAACGAUGUGAUAUGUUCCCAAAUUGUGUUUAUAGUAUUUUGGCUGGAAUUAACAAUAACAUAUGCUAUUUUUACU